GAUGAACGCUGGCGGCGUGCUUAAUACAUGCAAGUCGAGCGAACGGACGAGAAGCUUGCUUCUCUGAUGUUUGCGGCGGACGGGUGAGUAACACGUGGAUAAUCCACCUAUAAGACUGGGAUUACUUCGGGAAACCGGAGCUAAUACCGGAUAAUAUUUUGAACCGCAUGGUUCUAAAGUGAAAGAUGGUCUUGCUGUCACUUAUAGACGGAUCCGCGUUGCAUUAGCUAGUUGGUAAGGUAACGCCUUACCAAGGCAACGAUGGAUAGCCGACCUGAGAGCGUGAUCGGCCACACUGGAACUGAAACACGGUCCAGACUCCUACGGGAGGCAGCGGUAGGGAAUCUUCCGCAAAGGGGGGAAGCCUGACGGAGCAACGCCACGUGAGUGAUGAAAGUCUUCGGAGCGUAAAACUCUGUUAGUGGGGUAGAACAUAUGUGUGAGUAACUGUGCACAUCUUGACGGUACCUAGUGAGAAAGCCACGGCUAACUACGUG
rnacentral:rRNA from 1 species